rnacentral:misc_RNA from 1 species
GAUGAAGAACGUAGUGAAAUGCGAUAAGUAAUGUGAAUUGCAGAAUUCAGUGAAUCAUCGAAUCUUUGAACGCACAUUGCGCCCUUUGGUAUUCCGAAGGGCAUGCCUGUUCGAGCGUCAUUAUCACCCCUCAAGCCCUCGGCUUGGUGUUGGACGGUUUGGUGGAGGCCCCCUCGGGGGCUCCUGCCCCUCCCAAAGACAAUGACGGCGGCCUCGUUGGACCCCCGGUACACUGAGUUCUUCACGGGACACGUAUCGGACACAUGGGUUUACGGGACACGGUCUGCCUCCCCUCAGGGAGAAUCUUUCUAAGGUUGACCUCGGAUCAGGUAGGGAUACCCGCUGAACUUAAGCAUAUCAAUAAGCGGAGGA